AGAGUUUGAUUCCCUGGCUCAGGACGAACGCUGGCGGCGUGCUUAACACAUGCAAGUCGAGCGGUAAGGCCUUUCGGGGUACACGAGCGGCGAACGGGUGAGUAACACGUGGGUGAUCUGCCCUGCACUCUGGGAUAAGCUUGGGAAACUGGGUCUAAUACCGGAUAUGACCGCAUNCCGCAUGGUGUGUGGUGGAAAGAUUUAUCGGUGCAGGAUGGGCCCGCGGCCUAUCAGCUUGUUGGUGGGGUAAUGGCCUACCAAGGCGACGACGGGUAGCCGACCUGAGAGGGUGACCGGCCACACUGGGACUGAGACACGGCCCAGACUCCUACGGGAGGCAGCAGUGGGGAAUAUUGCACAAUGGGCGGAAGCCUGAUGCAGCGACGCCGCGUGAGGGAUGAAGGCCUUCGGGUUGUAAACCUCUUUCAGCAGGGA
rnacentral:rRNA from 1 species